rnacentral:lncRNA from 1 species
CACUCUAAGCAAACAGAUCCCGAGCCCUGGACUCUGAAGCUUGGGCCCAGUUCUCCUUUUCUCCGGGUUUCAGAUCCCACUGUGAAGUGAGGGGGCCCUUCUGAUUCAGGACCCGGGGAAGCCAGGGGCAUGAGCAUCGGUGCCUCUUCUCUAUUUCAAGGACCCUUCUGGGUGUAAAGUUCUCUGAGAUGCCUUACAUGGAUUCCCACCACUGCAAGAUAACCAUCGUAUGUAAAGUGUUAUGACCAGCAGAGCGUAAUUGAAGUGCAUUCCAGAGGGAAAGACAGCGGCUCAGAGUUAUGAGACCCUAAGCAGUCAUGGCCCAGUUCAGCCACUCCCGGACUCCUGACCCAGGGAACCUGUCAGAUGGUCCUUUGGAAGAUGAGGAUGAAGCUCUUGUGAAUGGAAUUCGUGACCUUAUAGAAGAAGCCCAAGAGAGCUGCCUUGUCCUUUUUACCACGUGAGGACACAGCAAGAAGGUGCCGUCUGUGAACCAGGAAGCAAGCUCUCACUAGAUUUGGAAUCUGCCGAUGCCUCCGUCUUGGACUUCCCAGCCUCUGGGACAGGGAAGGAGUGACAGCUUCCAAACUGUUGAUCUGUCAGUGCUGAAACCAGCAGGUCCCUUCAGCGAGGGCCAAAUGAGCGGAACUCUCCAGGAUACGUCUGAUUUAU